rnacentral:rRNA from 1 species
AACGAACGCUGGCGGCAGGCCUAACACAUGCAAGUCGAGCGGACCUUUCGGGGUCAGCGGCGGACGGGUGAGUAACGCGUGGGAAUAUGCCCUUCUCUACGGAAUAGUCCUGGGAAACUGGGGGUAAUACCGUAUACGCCCUUUGGGGGAAAGAUUUAUCGGGGAAGGAUUAGCCCGCGUUGGAUUAGGUAGUUGGUGGGGUAAUGGCCUACCAAGCCGACGAUCCAUAGCUGGGUUGAGAGGAUGAUCAGCCACACUGGGACUGAGACACGGCCCAGACUCCUACGGGAGGCAGCAGUGGGGAAUCUUAGACAAUGGGGGCAACCCUGAUCUAGCCAUGCCGCGUGAGUGAUGAAGGCCUUAGGGUUGUAAAGCUCUUUAAGCUGGGAAGAUAAUGACGGUACCAGCAGAAGAAGCCCCGGCUAACUCCGUG